UACGUAGGCGGCAAGCGUUGUCCGGAAUUAUUGGGCGUAAAGCGCGCGCAGGCGGUUCUUUAAGUCUGAUGUGAAAGCCCACGGCUCAACCGUGGAGGGUCAUUGGAAACUGGAGAACUUGAGUACAGAAGAGGAAAGCGGAAUUCCACGUGUAGCGGUGAAAUGCGUAGAGAUGUGGAGGAACACCAGUGGCGAAGGCGGCUUUCUGGUCUGUAACUGACGCUGAGGCGCGAAAGCGUGGGGAGCAAACAGG
rnacentral:rRNA from 1 species